CCCUUAGAGUUUGAUCCUGGCUCAGGAUGAACGCUAGCUACAGGCUUAACACAUGCAAGUCGAGGGGCAGCAUUUCAGUUUGCUUGCAAACUGGAGAUGGCGACCGGCGCACGGGUGAGUAACACGUAUCCAACCUGCCGAUAACUCGGGGAUAGCCUUUCGAAAGAAAGAUUAAUACCCGAUGGUAUAAUCAGACCGCAUGGUCUUGUUAUUAAAGAAUUUCGGUUAUCGAUGGGGAUGCGUUCCAUUAGGCAGUUGGUGAGGUAACGGCUCACCAAACCUUCGAUGGAUAGGGGUUCUGAGAGGAAGGUCCCCCACAUUGGAACUGAGACACGGUCCAAACUCCUACGGGAGGCAGCAGUGAGGAAUAUUGGUCAAUGGGCGCAGGCCUGAACCAGCCAAGUAGCGUGAAGGAUGACUGCCCUAUGGGUUGUAAACUUCUUUUAUAUGGGAAUAAAGUUUCCACGU
rnacentral:rRNA from 1 species